rnacentral:lncRNA from 1 species
UAAUACAAUUUGAAAUCUACAGCCCUAAUACGUCAUCAACGAGCAAAAAGAUUUCUUGCAACAACACAUUUUGUUCACAACCCCAAAGCUGCGCUUCAGCAAGUAGUGCUUGCAAUUACAGGAUCGAGUAUCUGUCUAAUGAAACCUCAUCUACUGGGGUCUUAGUAGAGGAUGUUUUGCACCUAUCUACCGACGAUGCUCAACAAAAAGAUGUACCUGCACGGAUUGCCUUUGGGUGAGUUAUUUUCUUCACUGCUUUACCACUAGAAAAAUAUAGGGUAGUCAAUAAAAAUUAGUGUAUGCUGAUUAUAUUAUUCCUAAACAUGCCAAUUUUAAUUGGUUAGCGCGCUUGUGAUGUUUGUAUGCUACUCUACUGCAGUUGUGGUAAGGACCAGACUGGUAUAUUUUUGGACGGAGCAGCUCCCAAUGGUCUAUUAGGGCUUGGUAUGGAAGAUGUAUCCAUUCCUAGCAUUUUAGCAGGACAGGGCCUUGCUUUGAAUUCAUUUUCCAUGUGUUUCGGACUUGACGGAAUUGGGAGAAUCAGAUUUGGUGAUAAUGGAAGCCAAGGCCAAGCAGAAACACCGUUCAAUCAUGAUAGCCAAUCAUAGUAAGUGCUCCCCCUAAAUAUCCAUAUGCUGAUGUCAAUUUUACUAGUUUUGCAAGUUAACUUCUUCAGUCUUUAAUAUCAUCCCAGUUGUCCUAAUCUUUUCUUGUUCGAACAUGUUACCAGUCCAACUUACAACAUUACUAUCACUCAAAUAGCCAUCGGAAAAAGUGUUACCGAUCUCGAAUUCUAUGCAAUUUUUGACUCUGGUAGCUCAUUUACAUACCUAAACGAUCCAGCUUACACGCAGAUUACUGAGAGUGUGAGUACUUCAGAUUUGGUUUUUCAUAUUAUAACCUUUUGUAUCUUCUUUAUUGUAUAGUCUUUGUAACUAUUUGUCAUUUUUCAGUUCAACUCCGUGCUUAAAAAUAGUCGGCAUCCAAAGGAUUCAGAUAUUCCUUUUGAAUAUUGUUAUGACAUAAGGUAAAUUCUAUCAGAAUACUAAACCUUGUAUCAGUUCUCUUUCUGAGCCUUCAGGCACUGACUUAACUUCGUUUGCAGUCCAAAUCAAUCGGUGAACUUGACAAUGAAAGGUGGAAAGCAGUAUUCUCUCCUCGAUCCACUGGUACCCGUGUCCAAUUCGGUAAGUUACCACUUUUAGUAUUUCUUAUAUAUCCUGCUCCUACACCAUGCCAUGCUAAACCUUGCUAUUCCAAUCUCCAGGAUGAAUCCACAGGGUUCUAUUGCCUGGGCGUCGUCAAAAGUGGAGAUGUUAAUAUCAUCGGACGUGAGUAUCUCUUUCUAAAUAUCUUUCAUUAUCUUGCUGCAAAAGUUUUCAUACACUUGAUGUCUACGCAGAUCAUGUAAUAGUUGAUUUUAAAAUCAGAUUCAUAAAACCAUCGUAACAAAUGGUUAAGGCCCUCGUACGGCCUUAACCAUCACUGGCAUUCAAAUGAAUUUGUACAUGUUCAAUGUUGCUUACAAUGUGGAUCUAUUCCUGCAGAAAACUUCAUGACGGGUUAUCGCGUAAUUUUUGACCGUGAGAAGAUGGUAUUGGGUUGGAAGGAAUCCAACUGUGAGUCUUAAUUCCACCAUUGCAAAUCAAACUUCGGCAAAACAUUUUUCUCGUGAUUCUUUUUCAGUGACAAUAGCGUGACAUUUUUCUUUUCAGGUUACAACGAUGAGGAAACCGUCACUUUUCCCAUCAUCCCAUCGAAAUCUCCGACGGCCUCCCCCCGGAGCCUCAACCCGGAGGCCGCAUCAGGGAGUACCAACAAAUCUAGCAUACCGGGAUCAAAUCAUUCACCAAAAUUGAAGAACUCUUUCACGACUGCAAUCACCAUUCUUCUUUUUGUAUUUCUCGCUACUGUGUGAUUAUUUUUCGCCUUUCUGUAAUAUAUCUAAAACCGUGAGGCAUUUUGUUUUGGAGGUAGAAUUUACACGGCGAUUUUUGGUAUAUUAUUCGUAGUUAUAGCAACAUGGCUUUGUACAUAUGAUUUUUGUUAUGACUACUGACCACAGACCGCAGAUAAUAAACAUCUUUUUUUUUUUUUUGUUACAAUAAUAAAUAGUUUUUGGUUUUUGGUUUAUUCUUUGGAAUCGAGAUCCUUUUCAGAUCUUGCAGUCCAGAGCCGAUUGAAUGAGAAAUUUGAAUCACUCAUUUUAAAUCCAUGCCCUUCGUUAUUUUACCCCGCUGGUUCCCUCAUAGAAACCGAGGGUUCAGAUCUCUUGCCUUUUUUUGAACGGUUCGGAAUCGGAUUACUUAGUCCGCCAACUCCGAAACUUCCACAACAACGCAAGCUUUCCCAGUUUUCCAUCUCUCUCUCUCUCUCUCUCUCUUCCCGCAGCUGCUGACUUGACUUGGGUCUGUGAGAACGCGUCGCUUUAAAACCCGUUUCAUCACAUUUCUCUGUUUUUCACUCAUGCCUCCCAACCCAAUUCACCAAAACAUCUGUUUCUCUCUCUAGAAUCGUCUCAGCCAUGGCGGCCUGGACUUGCAGAGCUUCUUACAGUUCCUCCGCCGUGCGUCUCUUAUUGUCUGUUAUAGUAUUGGGCUGGGCUUCUCGGACCUGUUUCGGACUCGGGUCGUACGGGUUCGAUAUCCACCACCGGUUCUCGAAUCCCGUCAAGGCAAUUCUGGGUUCCGAUGAGCUGCCGGAUAAGGGUAGUGCUCAGUACUACGCUGCCAUGGCCCACCGGGACCGAUUGAUUCGGGGCCGCCAUCUCUCCACCGCAGACGAUCAAACGACGCCGCUUGCUUUCGAAUACGGAAACAUCACUUACCGGAUUAGUGCUUUUGGAUAGUAAGCACUUUUCUCCUCUCUUUUUUACCUUAAAUUUUUUUAUUUUUUUAUUUUUUAUUUUUAGCAAUGUCUUCUUAACUUUAAUUGGUUGCAAUUAGCGAUGGGUAAAUUCCCAUUAGUUAUAGGUAAUCGUUAAGAUAAAUUAACGGUUAAGCUAAUGAAAUUUAAAUCAACGGUUAUAAGUGUUACUCGCGGUUAUAAACGAGUACCCAUUAAACCAUUUAUUUUAAUAUAUGUAAAACUAAAAAAAAUAAAAAAUUAGUUUCUAACUAAAUUUAGUAUCUGAGACAUAUUUGGUUAUAAAGUGCCAUAUAUAUAUAUAUAUAUAUAUAUAUAUAUAUAUAUAUAUAAAACACGCCUCACUUGAUAGAAAAAUAUAGUUGAUAGAAUGGGUUAAUGUUUAAUAUAUGUGAUUGAAUAUGCUAAAACAUUAGAAUGUUCGACAAUUUUGUUUUGGAGUCUUUUGGAGCUUUGGCAAAUUCAAGAUAAUGAUUACCUUAAGUUUUUAAAAACAUGUUAUUGUCGACUGAUGCAUAUAUAUAUAUAUAUAUAUAUAUAUAUAUAUAUAUAUUUAAUUGACCUCAAGUUUUCAAUAAGUAUUUGACCCAAAAAUUAGAAAUCAAUUAAAUGGCUUAGAUCAAUGAACAUAUGUUUCUAAAUAAAAAUCCAAAUAUUUAUCAAAUUAGCUUAUUAGCAGACUAAUGUGUACUUAUGUAUACAAGAAUAUUAAUUAACCUACAACCAUGUAUGAUUCUUGUAAUAGAUUGACCGUCAAAUAAUUGGGAGACAUCGCAUAUAUACAUAAAUAAUAUUACCGUUAAUAUAAAAAUUCAUGUUAAAUGUAUUUAUAACAGUAUUUAAUUGUUAGAAAAAGAAAAUUAUAACAAUUUUUUUUUUAAUUUUCAAGUUGUUAAAAAAAUAGGUAGACAGGUGAAAAAAGAGAGUAAACAGGUUAAAAAUGGGUAAACGGGUAAGUGGUUAUGGUUAAAUGGGUAUGCGAUUAUGAGUAAAUGAGCAUGCGGUUAUGAGUAUGGUUAACCGUUUAUAAACGGUUAUGGGUAUGGGUAUACCCGUUUAUGUAAAUACCCAACGGGUAAACGGUUAUGCGGGUAAAAGUUUAAACGGUUAUGGGUAAAUAACCGCGGUUACUUGCCCGCCAUAACCGUUGCCCAUUCCUAGUUGCAAUAUACCUUCAAUUAAAAAUCCAUUAUUAUUAGUUCCUCAACUUAUCAAAACGUACAGCUAUGGUCUCUCAACUAAAAAUUCAUUAUCAUUGGUCCCUCAACUUUAAUACAAACGAAGAAAUGGUCCCCAAACUUUAACCUGAUUAUAGCAAUAGUCUUUCCAACGUAACUCAUUUUGACAAAAUUCUAAUGAAGUUGACGAAAAUGACCAUAGCUACAUGUUUUGAUGAGUUUGAGGGACCCCAAUUGUAGCAAUGACCCUCCCAACAUAACUUAUUUGGAGAAAAUUCUAACGAAGUUAACAAAAAAGACCAUAACUACACAUUUUGAUGAGUUGACGGACCAAUAAUAAUAAAUUUUUAGUUGAGAGACCAUUACUCCAAUUUGAUUAAAAUUGAAGGAGCAUUGCUACAAUUUACUCUGUUUUUUUUGUGUUGAAAUUGAUGGGGUUUUUUUUUAAUUGUUGAAUUUUCCAACGGUAGGCAAGUGCCUUCGCCCAUGAGCGGUAGGUCUCGGGUUCGAGACUUGGGAGCAGCCUCUCCAUAAAAUGGGGGUAAGGCUAGCCGACAUUCACCUCUCCCAGACCCUGCGUAAAGCGGGAGCCUUGUGCACUGGGUACGACCUUUGUUGAAUUUUCCAACGGUCCCGAAUUUAUUUUAUUUUUUCUGAAAAAACCCAUUAAUUUGUUUAAAUUUUUGCACAAAACCCAGAUAUUUGUUUCCUUAGAAGAAAAUUAUACAUAAAGUGUUUGAAUUUUUGCUUUUUUGGGGUUGGAAUUUCAGUCUGCAUUAUGCAAAUGUAUCUGUGGGGACGCCGAGCGCAUCAUAUCUUGUGACAUUGGACACGAGCAGCAAUAUGCUGUGGUUGCCAUGUGAUUGCAGCAGCUGCGUCCGCGGCUUCCAGACCUCGAAUGGACAUGUAUGUGAUCUGAAUUAUUAUGGAUUUUGUUUGCCUUUUCUUGAUUAUACUUAUACAAGAUUUUUGAAUGAGGUGCAUUGUUUAGUUCAAAAGUUGGUUGCUUGGAGUUUUUGACUUGUCAUCACUUGAGUUGUUCGCGGUUAUGUUGGUUUGUGAUAAUUUCCAGUAGUUUGUGAAAUUUGCUCUGGAAUAAGUACUAAAACUAUCGAUUCAAGCAUGUAAGUUGUAACUUUAUCAUCGUCUGUGUUGAGUGAAUUCAGUACUGCCGUGCGUCUUUAGGGUAGGUAAACAUCAUGAAGGAAUGCAAGUUUACUUGAAUUUUAAGUGGGCAACAAAAUAGCAUCGUUUUCUCGAAAGUCUCAUGUUGCAUCAUAAAUUUGUAGUGUUAUUCAUCAAAAUACUGAGUUGCAUCUGGUUUCUAAAACUAUCUACCAGGCAUAGUUUCAGAAGGACGGACUAAGAUUGCUAGUGCAUUUGGUCCCUAUGUGGAUCAAUUGGGAAGAUGCUCUUAGGGUACUCAUUUUGUUGACAAUUAACUCCUGAGCUCUUCUUCUAUCAACCAGGUAGUAGCAUUUAAAAUCUACAGCCCUAAUACAUCAUCAACGAGCGAACAGAUUUAUUGCAACAGCGCAUUUUGUUCACAACCCCAACGCUGCACUUCAGCAAGUAGUGCUUGCAAGUACAGGAUCAAGUAUCGGUCAAAUAAACCUCAUCUACUGGGGUCUUGGUAGAGGAUGUUUUGCACCUAUCUACCGACGAUGCUCAACAAAAAGAUGUACCUGCACGGAUUCCCUUUGGGUGAGUUAUUUUCUUCACUACUUUACCACUAGAAAAAUAUAGGGUAGUCAACAAAAAUUAGUGAGCAUGCUGAUUAUAUAUUCCCAAACAUGCCAAUUUUAAUUGGUUAGUGCGCUUGUGAUGUUUGUAUGCCUCUAUUGCAGUUGUGGUAAGGACCAGACUGGUAUAUUUUUGGAAGGUACAGCUCCCAA